rnacentral:rRNA from 1 species
CAGUCGCCGGCGGUAAUACGGAGGGAGCUAGCGUUGUUCGGAAUUACUGGGCGUAAAGCGCACGUAGGCGGCUUUGUAAGUUAGAGGUGAAAGCCUGGAGCUCAACUCCAGAAUUGCCUUUAAGACUGCAUCGCUUGAAUCCAGGAGAGGUGAGUGGAAUUCCGAGUGUAGAGGUGAAAUUCGUAGAUAUUCGGAAGAACACCAGUGGCGAAGGCGGCUCACUGGACUGGUAUUGACGCUGAGGUGCGAAAGCGUGGGGAGCAAACAGGAUUAGAUACCCCUGUAGUCCCUGUCUCUUAUA